AACGACUCUCGGCAACGGAUAUCUCGGCUCACGCAUCGAUGAAGAACGUAGCAAAAUGCGAUACUUGGUGUGAAUUGCAGAAUCCCGUGAACCAUCGAGUUUUUGAACGCAAGUUGCGCCCGAAGCCAUUUGGUUGAGGGCACGUCUGCCUGGGCGUCACGCA
rnacentral:rRNA from 1 species